GGGGUUGUGGCUCAGUGGUAGAGUGCUUGCCUUGCAUGUGUGAGGCACUGGGUUCGAUCCUCAGCACCA
rfam:Ictidomys tridecemlineatus contig068256, whole genome shotgun sequence.